rnacentral:lncRNA from 1 species
GCUGGCCUGCGGCGUCUGUUUGUGCAGAGCGAGGCCCCGCCGGCCGGGCUUGACGUCAGGCUGGCAGGGCCUGGAACGGCCCCGCAUCGCGGCCCCCUGGGGGCAGGACGACACCGCUGGGGGCCGAGGGCAGGGCACGCCUUCGGAAUCCGGCUUCGAAGCCGGCCGCCUGACCUGGGGCAAGUGCUUUCAACUCUCUGAACUUCGGUUCCUCAUCUGCCAGUUGGCAGACGCUCAGCAAAUCUUCCUAGACUCACGGGGCGAAUUGUACAGUUGGGUAAAUCGAGGCCCAGAGAUGGCAAAAGGACCGUCCAAGGUCGUACAGCCACCCGGAAUUACAAUUCUUUUCUGCCGGGUCACACGCUGUCAUCCACGUGUUACCUAAGAGAGCUUUCCAGCCUGUGCUAAGAAAACUGCCCCACAUCAUCUGCAGUAGGACGGGGGAGUUGGAGCCCUGGUCAGGCCACUCUGCUACUGACCACAGUUUUCUCAUCUCUAAAAAGGCGCAGUAACAAUAUAAUUACCGUAUGCAGUCCCCCAGGAUACAGGGUCAAAGGAGAGCACAACCAUCGCAGUUGGAAGCCCAUGGGGCAGAAGCAAGGUCUCGCUGUGUUACCCUGGCUGGAGUGCAGUGGCUACUUACAGGCAUGAUCAUAGCAUACUGCAGCCUCGAACUCCUGGACUAGAGCAGUUCUCCUGCCUCAGCCUCCAGAGCAGCUGGGACUGCAGACACGCACCACAGAGCCCAGCCUGAGUCAUUUUGAUUCUGUAACUGGCUUCCUCUCGGCGGGCAGGCUCACACCCUCCACCCCCAGCUGGAGAUGGAAGGAGGAUGCUCACCGCCCAUUCCUCAUGCAGGCCAUCGAUGGAAAUGUCAGACAGUGCGAGUCCACGCCUGAACACUUCUGGGGUCCGCUCUGGGACUGACACUGGCAGAUCCAUCGUGGCACCCGAGCUCUGUGAGGGCAAGACUUUGUUCGGUUGUGGGCUAUGCCCCCAACCCCUCGGACAGUGCCUGCACAGGUGGACAUUUUUGUUGGAUGAAGGAUUUUCUGUUAAAUGUGUCUGGCACACACAGAAAAACAAAGCCCAGCAGAUGCCGUUCCAUUGUUUGCUGACUUUCAUUGAUUCUAUGAGAAGUCUGCAGUCUUUUGCAGCGUUGUUUUCCUAUGUAUAAUUGUCUCCUCCCACCCCACUCACCCCAGCUGCUUUCCACAUUCUCUCUCUUUGAUUUUCAGCAGUCUGCCCAUGAUGUGCCUAAAUAGGACUUUCUUUGCAUUCAUCUUGGCUGGGGCUCACUGAACUUUCUGAAUCUGUAGAUUAAUUUUCUUUUUUCAAUAAACCUUGGAAUAUUUUCAGCAUAA